rnacentral:rRNA from 1 species
AUUGAACGCUGGCGGAAUGCUUUACACAUGCAAGUCGAACGGCAGCACGGACUUCGGUCUGGUGGCGAGUGGCGAACGGGUGAGUAACAUAUCGGAACGUAUCCAAUAAUGGGGGAUAACUAAUCGAAAGGUUGGCUAAUACCGCAUACGCCCUACGAGGGAAAGCAGGGGAUCUUCGGACCUUGCGUUAAUGGAGCGGCUGAUAUCUGAUUAGCUAGUUGGUGAGGUAAAGGCUCACCAAGGCGACGAUCAGUAGCUGGUCUGAGAGGACGACCAGCCACACUGGAACUGAGACACGGUCCAGACUCCUACGGGAGGCAGCAGUGGGGAAUUUUGGACAAUGGGCGCAAGCCUGAUCCAGCCAUUCCGCGUGAGUGAAGAAGGCCUUCGGGUUGUAAAGCUCUUUCGCAAGGGAAGAAAACUUGCUUUCUAAUAAAGAGUGAGGUUGACGGUACCUUGAUAAGAAGCACCGGCUAACUACGUGCCAGCCGCCGCGGUAA